rnacentral:rRNA from 1 species
GGGGAAUCUUGGACAAUGGGCGCAAGCCUGAUCCAGCCAUGCCGCGUGAGUGACGAAGGUCUUCGGAUUGUAAAGCUCUUUUGCCAGGGACGAUAAUGACGGUACCUGGAGAAUAAGCCCCGGCUAACUUCGUGCCAGCAGCCGCGGUAAUACGAAGGGGGCUAGCGUUGUUCGGAAUUACUGGGCGUAAAGCGCACGUAGGCGGAUUUGUAAGUCAGGGGUGAAAUCCCGGGGCUCAACCUCGGAACUGCCUUUGAUACUGCAAAGCUCGAGUCCGAUAGAGGUGAGUGGAAUUCCUAGUGUAGAGGUGAAAUUCGUAGAUAUUAGGAAGAACACCAGUGGCGAAGGCGGCUCACUGGAUCGGUACUGACGCUGAGGUGCGAAAGCGUGGGGAGCAAAC